UGCUUACUAAGGUCACCAAUACCAUCCAAAUGAGAAAGUGCAUCGGCUGCUGCCAGUAAUGCAAUUAAACCCUAAAUAGGUGAAUCUGCACCAAGACUUCUGUCUCGGAAAAAGGAAGCAGAAUCCAUAGAGGCUACUGUCAAUAUAAUGGGCUUAGACGGUUUUGAGGAUGAAUUGUUGAUUGGAGGAAGAGCCGACCAAAC
rnacentral:lncRNA from 1 species